rnacentral:lncRNA from 1 species
CUAUCACCACGCCAACAUGGCAAUUCCAGGGCAGACAGCCAGGAUGGUGGACACCACAGGAUAAGAGUACACUGGAACAUCCCAAUAUGCAUCACAAAUGCAGUGAGCCAACGGAAGGUCAUAUUGGACUAGCAAUGAAUCAAAGUUCACUUCUAAAUGAUCAGACAAGGAUGUGUUUUUAGGAUGAAUAUCUGGGAAAUAUGAGAGAGAGAGAGAGAGAGAGAAUAACAACAAGAAUCUUGACAUCCGAAGUAUGAACUUCGGAGCAGGUGGCCUGUUAAGGGAGUCAUCUCCGGGGUGUCGAUGAAACUUGAGGUUUAGAUACCUAAGGAAGAGAAGAACAGGUGCGGUUAGUGCCCGUCGCCUGACCAGAAUGGUGAAUGGAGAGUCUGUCAGUUCUUUUUGUUUUUCUGACAAUGAACACCUCCCUACACAGUUUAAAGCUAGGCUAGUUAAGGUGUGUGAGGAAGCUGUAUUCUUAAGAUCGGAGAGAAGAAGAUAAGUGCUGCAGUUGUGGUGGAGAUCAUGAUCCAGUUAUUGGAGUGUCUUAUAAGUCUGUAUCAGAUCCGGCCGUGAUUGGGAGUCCCGUAGGGCGGCGCACAGUUGGCCCAGCGUCGUCCGGGUUUUGCCAUGGUAGGCCGUCAUUGUAAAUAAUAAUUUGUUCUUAACUGACUUGCCUAAUUAAAUAAAGGUUACUUUUUUUAAUCAAAAAUGGUGAAUCUCCUAGGCAACGAAAAGAAGCACGUGACAAUGUUGAAGAUAUGGCCGCAGAUGCACCACAGUGAAUGUGUGCCAAGCAAGACAACAGGAUACUCUGUGUGUUUUAAAAAGGUGGAUUUUGUAGCGUUUAUUUGUAAAUGUUACCAACUGUACGGAAUGUAUCAAAGAAAUUUGAAAGACUUUGGACAUCGUUGUUGCUGCAAUUGAAAAGUAUCUGGGACUUCAGGACUUUACAACGGAAAAUCCAAAGGGGUAUCGGCAAUGGAAGAUGACAGUCUUUAGGCGUAUGGAUAUUUUCCCACCCCCACAAUGUUCCUUUUUUGGGAUCUUUGUUUUCAUCCCGCACAGUAGGUGGCGGCAAUACACCUUUUUGGGCGUAGUCUGCCAAUAAACCAAGAAGAACUGUGGAAAUCGGUGGAAAUGAUGCUUGUUUCUAUGUCCAUAGAUUAAGUGAUUGAGGCCAAAAGGAUGAUCAGUAGGAAAGAGGGUCAAAUAAAUGAAAGCUUCUCAGUGCUGCUGAGGUUUGAGAAGGUUGUGACUGCUACAGAUGGGAUUCCUUAGUUUUAAUGUCCAAGAAUUUGUACCAUCCAAAUGGUGGUGUUUUAAAUGCCAAAGAAUGGGAUAUGUAGCUUCUCAAUUUAAAGGAAAGUAAAGAUGUGCCAAGUGUGGAGGGGAACAUGAUUACUGUGAAUGUGAAAGCUAAAUGUUUUAAUUGUCGGGGGAACACAGUUCAGCAUUUGGUGGAUACCAGGUGCAGAGAAGCUAGAGAGGCCCAGAGAUCUAGAAUCACUCACAAUGUCUCUUAUGCAUAUGUAACAGGGCUGGUUAUGUUUCCACUUGACACUGCAGAAAUGUAUAUCCAAUGUUUAUGUAUUCCUAUUGAUUGGUUGAGUUUACAUAUCAAUAAGGUGUUGUGCCAUUGGUCAUACUUGAAGAUAGGGGGAGAUCGCCAACAUAAAUUCUUCCCAGUCUGAUAUUGAUGUAGGUCACGUUCUGAAAUACUGUAUUGUAUUUUCAUAUUUACAAUGUGUACGAGUUCACUAUGGACAUGUCCUGAUCUACCCCAUAAUGUUUAAGUGAAAUGAUGUUACUAGAAAAUGUUUGAAAUUCGUAAAAAAUGUAAAGCUGAAAUGUCUUGAGUGAAUAAUUAUUCAACCCCUUUGUUAUGGCAAGCCUAAGUAAAUUCAUGAGUAAACAUGUGCAUACCAAUUCACACAAUAAGUUGCAUGAACUCUGUGUUCAAUAAUA